GGCCGACUAGCUCAGUUGGUUAGAGCGUCGUGCUAAUAACGCGAAGGUCUUGGGUCCGAUCCCUACGUUGGCCA
rnacentral:tRNA from 1 species